GAUCCUGGCUCAGGAUGAACGCUAGCUACAGGCUUAACACAUGCAAGUCGAGGGGCAGCAUUUUUAUAGCAAUAUAAAAGAUGGCGACCGGCGCACGGGUGAGUAACACGUAUCCAACCUGCCCGAUAACUCGGGGAUAACCCGUUCGAAAGAAGGCCUAAUACCCGAUGGCACUAUCCCUUCCGUCCUGGUUGGGAUAUUAAAGGAACUUCGGUUAUCGAUGGGUAUGCGUUCCAGUUAGCUUGUUGGCGGGUAACGCC
rnacentral:rRNA from 1 species